UUCAAUGGGUUUAGAAAUCCCUGCAUAAUGAUUCUGGAUAAUGAAAAGCUUUUGAAUUUUAAACAAGCAAAUCAUUUAUGCAGAUGAAAAGAUUGUUUUCUUGUUUUUCUGGGUUUUUUGUGAUCACUGAUUUCAUGCAAAAGGCAAAAAGUGAAAACGAAUGGAAAAACAAAUGUUUAAAAAUGCAUUAAUUGAAUGAAAACGUCAUUGUAUUAAAUGCUGCCAACAAUGUCAUCACUUCUCCUUUUGGCAUGGGAGAAG
rnacentral:lncRNA from 1 species